GUUCAGGAGGCAACACCCAAGGUGGGAGCUCAGGAGCAAAACAAACGGAACCUAAACAAUAGUAGCAAGGGGUUCAGGAGGCAACACCCAAGGUGGGAGCUCAGGAGCAAAACAAACGAAACCUAAACAAUAGUAGCAAGGUAUUGAUAAUGUAAAACGCUACCGUCAACACUUUGUGUUCUCUAAUCCAUUCAAUACAUGGUGACAAAACUAGUAUUACUCGUGAAUUUAACCAAUUAAAUAAUCACAUAUAUCUAAGUCAUGCUUUUCUUCCGCUUUUUUUUUUGCUUGAUUUUUAUUAAUAUUCGUGAAUAUAAUUGUGUGUGUGUGUUUCAUGGAUAAUUUCGAUCCAAUUUCCCCACACCAAGGGAUUUUGACUGAAGAAGAAGCAGGGGAGUUGCUUUUCAAUUUCUAAGACCCAUUCAGGAAGUCCCCAUCAGGGACUCUUCGGUGCUUUCCCCACUGAGCAAAAGUCUAUAUAGCUCAACCGAAGACCGUGAGAAGUCGUGUAAUGUGGACAAAGGCGGCUCCAAAAUCUCCUUUAUAAAAUAAAAAAAGAAAAAAAGAAAACUUUAAAUGGAAGUGCAAGUAUGAUAACCGUAACCUCUGCUGGAGUAUUGCUCUGUCACAUCACACCGCCGAAAAGCCACGUGAUUAUCGGGAGAAAAUUUUGCGUAAAUGAUAGUACGUCGGACAAGUCUUAAAAAGCUGGCCGCGACGUUGGCAAGUUCCAUCAAAGGGUCUUUGCACAGUGAGUCUUGGUGCUUUUGUCGGCAAAGUCCAGGACGAGAGCCUGAGAAAAAGUUGUCCACAAAGCGCAACGAAAGACCGAGUAAUGCGAUGUGGACCUCAGUUUAAAUGUACACAUCUAGAGGACUUGACUAGCUCGAUCUCUUUUCCACAUGAUUAACGAGAGUAGAAAUUUGUGAGUGAUUAAUACAUUUAGAGAUCCGACGUAGGCUUAGAGUCUCUAUAAUCACAUAUAAGGGAUGGUAAUUACGGCGGUAGCGGGUCUCCACCCAAGGUCGGCCGUGGUAUUUUUGGGACCAAGACGAAUUUAAGAAAGUGGGAAUUUAUGCAUUUUUCUGCCCCAAUAAUAUUAUGAAAAAACGAAAGCAACUCCGAGAAGCGAAAUUAUAUUAAUUGAUCAAUAGGAUAAAAGGUUGUAGUUACAUA